rnacentral:rRNA from 1 species
AGUGAACGCUGGCGGUAGGCCUAACACAUGCAAGUCGAACGGCAGCACAGUAAGAGCUUGCUCUUACGGGUGGCGAGUGGCGGACGGGUGAGGAAUACAUCGGAAUCUACUUUUUCGUGGGGGAUAACGUAGGGAAACUUACGCCAAUACCGCAUACGACCUACGGGUGAAAGCAGGGGAUCUUCGGACCUUGCGCGAAUGAAUGAGCCGAUGUCGGAUUAGCUAGUUGGCGGGGUAAAGGCCCACCAAGGCGACGAUCCGUAGCUGGUCUGAGAGGAUGAUCAGCGACACGGGAACUGAGACACGGUCCAGACUCCUACGGGAGGCAGCAGUGGGGAAUAUGGGACAAUGGGCGCAAGCAUGAUCCAGCCAUACCGCGUGGGUGAAGAAGGCCUUCGGGUUGUAAAGCCCUUUUGUUGGGAAAGAAAAGCAGCAGGUUAAUACCCCGCUGUUCUGACGGUACCCAAAGAAUAAGCACCGGCUAACUUCGUG